rnacentral:misc_RNA from 1 species
GAAAUGCGAUACUUGGUGUGAAUUGCAGAAUCCCGUGAACCAUCGAGUCUUUGAACGCAAGUUGCGCCCGAAGCCAUUAGGCCGAGGGCACGCCUGCCUGGGUGUCACACAUCGUUUCCCCAACGCAAACAUGUUUGCGUUGGGGAA